rnacentral:rRNA from 1 species
UACGGAGGGUGCAAGCGUUAUCCGGAUUUAUUGGGUUUAAAGGGUGUGUAGGCGGACUUGUAAGUCAGUGGUGAAAUCCUGGAGCUUAACUUCAGAACUGCCAUUGAUACUGCUAGUCUUGAGUACAGUUGAGGUAGGCGGAAUGAGUAGUGUAGCGGUGAAAUGCAUAGAUAUUACUCAGAACACCGAUUGCGAAGGCAGCUUGCUAAACUGUAACUGACGCUGAUGCACGAAAGCGUGGGGAGCGAACAGG